rnacentral:rRNA from 1 species
AUUGAACGCUGGCGGCAGGCCUAACACAUGCAAGUCGAGCGGAAACGAGAAGUAGCUUGCUACUUCGGCGUCGAGCGGCGGACGGGUGAGUAAUGCCUAGGAAGUUGCCCAGUAGAGGGGGAUAACCAUUGGAAACGAUGGCUAAUACCGCAUAAUCUCUUUGGAGCAAAGCAGGGGACCUUCGGGCCUUGUGCUAUUGGAUACGCCUAGGUGGGAUUAGCUAGUUGGUGAGGUAAUGGCUCACCAAGGCGACGAUCCCUAGCUGGUCUGAGAGGAUGAUCAGCCACACUGGAACUGAGACACGGUCCAG